GGUGAAGAUACUUUCCAUGUGCAAAUGUAGUGGUUGCUGUAGUAUGCCAUGGUUCAAGUGCACCCCUCAUCUUCUCUAGCAGAAGAAGUAAAAGCAGAACGAUGUUUUUAAGUUCUUUCUGGGAUGCUUGGUGACCUUUUGAAGGUGGAUUUUGCGAUAAUUGAUGCAAUAUUAUCGAAGGUUAUUGGUGGUUCAGUUCUGUUGCUAAGCUGCUUUGGACACAACUCCAUUAUUUUGUCGUCGUUGUGUAUAUGCAUGCUGAUCUAUUUAAAUGGGUAUGUCUUCUUGCACGCUGAACUUGAAAUCUGCUGUUUUGACCCAAGUUGCUAUUUGGAUUAUGUUCUUGCCUAAUAAAAUGCGUCCGAGUUGCUUUACAUUGCUUCUGAUUCCAAUGUUUUCAAGUAGAGCGGAUAUAUGUUGUGCUCGUGUGUAUAGGAUAUGUUUCAGGUAUUUUAUCGCAUCAUGGAGGAAGAUUUGCCUACAGCCAAGAGAAAUGGUUUAGCCGUUUUCUCUUUAGCGUUUUCCUUUUCUGUUUUCACUCUGUAUUGCAAAGAUUGUACUGUGGAUUCUUAUA